rnacentral:rRNA from 1 species
UUGUAAACCGACACAGGUGAUCAGGUAGAGAAUACCAAGGCGCUUGAGAGAACUCGGGUGAAGGAACUAGGCAAAAUGGUACCGUAACUUCGGGAGAAGGUACGCCGGUUUGGGUGAUGGGACUUGCUCCUUGAGCCUGGGCUGGCCGAAGUGACCAGGUGGCUGCGACUGUUUAUUAAAAACAUAGCACUGUGCAAACACGUAAGUGGACGUAUACGGUGUGACGCCUGCCCGGUGCCGGAAGGUUAAUUGAUGGGGUUAUCUCCGGAGAAGCUCUUGAUCGAAGCCCCGGUAAACGGCGGCCGUAACGAUAACGGUCCUAAGGUAGCGAAAUUCCUUGUCGGGUAAGUUCCGACCUGCACGAAUGGCGUAACGAUGGCCACACUGUCUCCACCCGAGACUCAGUGAAAUUGAAAUCGCUGUUAAGAUGCAGUGUACCCGCGGCUAGACGGAAAGACCCCGUGAACCUUUACUAUAGCUUCACACUGGACUCUGACCUUACUUGUGUAGGAUAGCUGGGAGGCUUUGAAGCGGUGGCGCCAGCCAUCGUGGAGCCAACCUUGAAAUACCAGCCUGGUAUGUUGGGGUUCUAACUCAGGUCCGUAAUCCGGAUCGAGGACAGUGUGUGGUGGGUAGUUUGACUGGGGCGGUCUCCUCCCAAAGAGUAACGGAGGAGCACGAAGGUGCGCUAAUCACGGUCGGAAAUCGUGAGGUUAGUGUAAAGGCACAAGCGCGCUUGACUGCGAGUCUGACAAGACGAGCAGGUACGAAAGUAGGUCUUAGUGAUCCGGUGGUUCUGUAUGAAAGGGCCAUCGCUCAACGGAUAAAAGGUACUCCGGGGAUAACAGGCUGAUACCGCCCAAGAGUUCACAUCGACGGCGGUGUUUGGCACCUCGAUGUCGGCUCAUCACAUCCUGGGGCUGAAGCCGGUCCCAAGGGUAUGGCUGUUCGCCAUUUAAAGUGGUACGCGAGCUGGGUUUAGAACGUCGUGAGACAGUUCGGUCCCUAUCUGCCGUGGGCGUUGGAGAAUUGAGGGAAGCCGCUCCUAGUACGAGAGGACCGGAGUGGACGAACCGCUGGUGUUCGGGUUGUGUCGCCAGACGCAUUGCCCGGUAGCUACGUUCGGACAGGAUAAGCGCUGAAAGCAUCUAAGCGCGAAGCCCCUCCCAAGAUAAGUUCUCCCUGACCCCUUGAGGGUCCUGAAGGGCCGUCGAAGACUACGACGUUGAUAGGCUGGGUGUGUAAGCGUUGUAAGGCGUUGAGCUAACCAGUACUAAUUGCCCGUGAGGCUUGAGC